GCGCAGCGAGAAAGCGUUGCCGCAGGCAACGACCCGAAGGGCGAAGCGCGCAGCGCUGAGUAAUCCUUCCCCCAUCACCA
rnacentral:sRNA from 1 species